rnacentral:lncRNA from 1 species
UUAACCUUUGAUGUGAUGCGGGGUUUUAGUGAGACCCACCUGAAAUAAAAGAAAAACAGCAAGCAUGGAGAAUCGUGGGGGCUGGCAAUGGAGCUUUGAUGUCUAGUGCAUCGGGAAACAGCUCUCGCGCUGUUUUCGCGCGCUUCUCACCCAGAACAAACGACACCCCGUCUAGGACCCACUUCCACACCUCCAAAACACCCGCUCCAUUGACCCACUGAACCCCCACUAGUGCUUUGUUAUUUGUUUUCUGUCUUAUUCUCCAUGGAUAACCCAGUGAUAUCGUCAUGCCAUCCCUCCGGGUAUCACAACUGAGUUCGCUUCUUACGUUUUAUAGUUUCAAGUUCAUGAGGGAGACUUGCAGAGGAAAGUAUUUUACAUAUAUCGCCGGAGUGGUCACCUUCGAUCACUCUGGAAAUCAAGUGGCAGACGACGUAGUUAUCUUUCAUUAGUCUUAGUUUGUUGAAGCAUCUGAAUUCUGCAAUCACCGUAUACCACUCAGAUGGAUGGCUGCACCCAUAGGACCACGAAGAGACUUAUAUGGCCGUCUACAUGACUGUUGGGAUAAAAUUUAAAAAUAAAAGAAGAAAGAAAAAAGAUGAAAGGCGAUGAUUACCAUCGCACACCAAACCACUGUAAAUCUGUAUCGUCAAUUUUUCCUAUGCAUAGUUGUCUGCUAUUUUUGUAUGGUAACUUCAGUUCAAUGGUGGCUUUUCUGUCUUGUCUUCGUGUCUUAUCUCUAUGCUUGGACUUUAAAUGCAACCCACCAAUCGUCAAUA